GGCGAACGGGUGAGUAACACGUGGCCAAUCUGCCCUGCUCUCUGGGAUAAGCCCGGGAAACUGGGUCUAAUACCGCAUACGACACUCCGAGGCAUCUCGGGGUGUGGAAAGUUCCGGCGGUGCAGGAUGAGCCCGCGGCCUAUCAGCUUGUUGGUGGGGUAAUGGCCUACCAAGGCGACGACGGGUAGCCGGCCAGAGAGGGUGACCGGCCACACUGGGACUGAGACACGGCCCAGACUCCUACGGGAGGCAGCAGUGGGGAAUAUUGCACAAUGGGCGAAAGCCUGAUGCAGCGACGCCGCGUGAGGGAUGACGGCAUUCGGGUUGUAAACCUCUUUCAGCAGGGAAGAAGCGAAAGUGACGGUACCUGCAGAAGAAGCACCGGCUAACUACGUGCCAGCAGCAGCGGUAAUACGUAGGGUGCGAGCGUUGUCCGGAAUUAUUGGGCGUAAACAGCUCGUAGGCGGUUUGUCGCGUCGAUUGUGAAAGCCCGGGGCUUAACCCUGGGUCUGCAGUCGAUACGGGCAGGCUAGAGUUCGGAAGGGGAGAAUGGAAUUCCUGGUGUAGCGGUGAAAUGCGCAGAUAUCAGGAGGUACACCGGUGGCGAAGGCGGGUCU
rnacentral:rRNA from 1 species